CAGAACACCGCAAACGUAAGCCGUUUGGAGGCCUCCCGUCGGACGUGAGUCACGCCAUCGUCGUCUGUGCCAGUUUUUGCCGAGAGCCCAGGACUCCCCCGGCUCCCUUCCUGCCGUCUAACCCCUCACUCGCCCGUUGACUUGGGCCGGAGUUACGCGGCAUUCUGCUCAGUGUUUCAAGCUGCCCGCUUCCAGAACCAUCUCAUAAAUCCAGCAUUGUUCUUCGAGGAAGAAUUCUCUAUCCACACCUGUCUUGAACCCCGAAUUCCCGAUGGACAAAUUCAGUGUUUGAGAGGGGAAGAUUUGUGGUGUUGGUGUUUUCCCCCCCAGGAUUAGCAGAUGCCUUGAUGAGGUAAACAUUGAAUCCUUCCCUGUUUUCCUUUCUGAGUUACGGCGAGUUGGAAGACAGUCCUUUCUCUUUUAUUCGUUCAGGUUCUGCCUUAUUUUCACAGCAGCGAUGACGCCUUUGUCCCUCAUACUUGACACCUUCGCUGCUGCUCUGCCAGAGCGCUUUUUGCUUCACCUUGGUUUAAUUGUCUCUCUGAUAGAAAACAUAGUGGAUUUUAUGGGUUAUUGAUGAGUGUUUCUUAGCACUGCUUUAUAAUAAAUUUCCACAAAUCCUA